UCAGCUCGUGUCGUGAGAUGUUCGGUUAAGUCCGCUAACGAGCGCAACCCUCGCUGUGUGUUAUAUGUGUCACACAGGACUGCUGGUAUUAAGCCGGAGGAAGGUGGGACGACGUCAAGUCAGCAUGACCUUUAUAUCCAGGGCUACACACACGCUACAAUGGUCAGUACAAUGGGUUGCCAAGCCGCGAGGCGGAGCCAAUCCUAAAAAGCUGGCCUCAGUUCAGAUUGCAGUCUGAAACUCGACUGCAUGAAGUCGGAGUUGCUAGUAAACGCAGGUCAGCUAUACUGCGUUGAAUACGUUCCCGGGGCUU
rnacentral:rRNA from 1 species